rnacentral:rRNA from 1 species
AUGAACGCUGGCGGCGUGCCUAAUACAUGCAAGUCGAGCGAACAGACGAGGAGCUUGCUCCUCUGACGUUAGCGGCGAACGGGUGAGUAACACGUGGAUAACCUACCUAUAAGACUGGGAUAACUUCGGGAAACCGGAGCUAAUACCGGAUAAUAUAUUGAACCGCAUGGUUCAAUAGUGAAAGACGGUUUUGCUGUCACUUAUAGAUGGAUCCGCGCCGCAUUAGCUAGUUGGUAAGGUAACGGCUUACCAAGGCAACGAUGCGUAGCCGACCUGAGAGGGUGAUCGGCCACACUGGAACUGAGACACGGUCCAGACUCCUACGGGAGGCAGCAGUAGGGAAUCUUCCGCAAUGGGCGAAAGCCUGACGGAGCAACGCCGCGUGAGUGAUGAAGGUCUUCGGAUCGUAAAACUCUGUUAUUAGGGAAGAACAAAUGUGUAAGUAACUAUGCACGUCUUGACGGUACCUAAUCAGAAAGCCACGGCUAACUACGUG